GGGGGUAAAAUUAAUAAUUGAAAAAAUAAUAAAAAUAAUUUUAAUAUUAAAAUAAUUUAAUGGGGGUUAAAGUAUUUUAAUAGAAAAAAUUUAAAUUUUUAUAGUUAAUUAGGUAUUGUGAGAGAAUUUUGAAAUAUUUUGAAAUAAAAUUUAUGGGGAAGUAAAUUUUAAUUAUUGUAUCUUGGGUAUCAGAGUUUAUUAAAAAUUUUUUAUUGGUUUAAAUUUCUCGAAUUUAAAAGAGAUAAUUAAUUAAAAAAGUUAUUGUUGUAUAAAUAUUUUAAAUAAUUAAUUUGAAAUGAAAAGUUAAUCGUUUUUAAAUAUAUCUAGUUUUUUUAGAAAAAAAUUUAAUUUUUAAUUUAAAAUAUAAAAAAAUUUAAUUAAUUUUAAGUUUUUUUUUUUUUAAAUUUAAUAUUUUAAGGGAUAAGCUUUAAAUUAAAUUUUUAUAAUAAGAAUUGAUUUAUAUUAAAAUUUUUAUAAUUUAUAUUGUUAAUAAAUUAUAUUUUUUUAUAAAUAAUUUUAUUUAAAUUAAAAUUUAAUUUGAAUAUAUUUAAUUUUUUAUAAAAAAUAAUUUUAUAAUAAUUAAAAUUUUGAUAUUAUGAUAAAAUUAGUAUAUAAAAUUAAAAUUUUUUAAUAAUUAUUUAAUUUUAAUUUAAUAUAUUUAAAAGGAAUUCGGCAAAUUUUUAUGUUCACUUGUUUAUCAAAAACAUGUCUUUUUGAUUAUAAUUUAAAGUCUAAUCUGCCCACUGAUAUAAAUAUAUUAAAGGGCUGCAGUAUUUUGACUGUACAAAGGUAGCAUAAUCAUUAGUCUCUUAAUUGGUGACUUGUAUGAAAGAUUGAAUGAAAUAUAAGCUGUCUCUUAAGUAUAAUAUUGAAUUUAAUUUUUUAAUUAAAAAGUUAAAAUAAAUUAAAAAGACGAGAAGACCCUAUAGAGUUUUAUAAUUUUUAAAAAUUAAUUUUAUUUAUAAAUAUUUUAAUUAUGAUUUUUAAUAGUUUAUUUUAUUGGGGUGAUAAAAAAAUUUAUUGAACUUUUUUUAAGAAAUUUCAUUGAUAAGUGAGUUAAUGAUCCAAUUUUAUUGAUUAUAAGAUUAAAUUACCUUAGGGAUAACAGCGUAAUUUUUUUUUUUAGUUCGUAUAAGAAAAAAAGUUUGCGACCUCGAUGUUGGAUUAAGAUAAAAUUUAUAUGUAGAAGUAUAAGAAUUUUGAUCUGUUCGAUCAUUAAAAUCUUACAUGAUCUGAGUUCAAACCGGUGUGAGCCAGGUUGGUUUCUAUCUUUUAAAAUUAAAAAUAUUUUAGUACGAAAGGAUUAAAUAUUUUAAUUAAAUUAUUUAUUUUGAAUUUUAUUAAAAAUAUUUAAAAAUAAUUUAAAUUAUGAUUAAAUGAUAUAUAUAUAUAUAUAUAUAUAUAUAUAAAUUAACAUUGAAAAUUGU
rnacentral:rRNA from 1 species